rnacentral:rRNA from 1 species
UACGAAGGGGGCGAGCGUUGUUCGGAUUUACUGGGCGUAAAGGGCGCGUAGGCGGUCAGCACAAGUCAGUUGUGAAAUCUCCGAGCUUAACUCGGAAAGGUCAACUGAAACUGUGCGACUAGAGUGCAGAAGGGGCAACUGGAAUUCUUGGUGUAGCGGUGAAAUGCGUAGAUAUCAAGAGGAACACCUGCGGCGAAGGCGGGUUGCUGGGCUGACACUGACGCUGAAGCGCGAAAGCCAGGGGAGCGAACGGG